rnacentral:rRNA from 1 species
ACGCCAGACUCCUACGGGAGGCAGCAGUGGGGAAUAUUGCACAAUGGGGGAAACCCUGAUGCAGCGACGCCGCGUGAGUGAAGAAGUAUUUCGGUAUGUAAAGCUCUAUCAGCAGGGAAGAAAAUGACAGUACCUGAGUAAGAAGCCCCGGCUAACUACGUGCCAGCAGCCGCGGUAAUACGUAGGGGGCAAGCGUUAUCCGGAUUUACUGGGUGUAAAGGGGGCGCAGACGGCAGCGCAAGCCAGGAGUGAAAGCCCGGGGCCCAACCCCGGGACUGCUCUUGGAACUGCGCGGCUGGAGUGCAGGAGGGGCAGGCGGAAUUCCUGGUGUAGCGGUGAAAUGCGUAGAUAUCAGGAGGAACACCGGUGGCGAAGGCGGCCUGCUGGACUGCGACUGACGUUGAGGCCCGAAAGCGUGGGGAGCAAACAGGAUUAGAUACCCCCGUA